UAUCAUAAGCGGACGAGCAUAUCAAUAAGCGGAGGAGCAUAUCAAUAAGCGGAGGAGCAUAUCAAUAGGCGGAGGAGCCUAUCAAUGGGCGGAGGAGCCUAUCAAUGGACGGAGGAUUUAUCGAGGGGGGGAGGAAUAAUCAGCGGGCGGAGGAUUAUAAAGUUUAAUAAAAGACCACUUUUAACAAUGGAUCUCUUGGUUCUCGCAUCGAUGAAGAACGUAGCAAAGUGCGAUAACUAGUGUGAAUUGCAUAUUCAGUGAAUCAUCGAGUCUUUGAACGCAGCUUGCACUCUAUGGUUUUUCUAUAGAGUACGCCUGCUUCAGUAUCAUCACAAACCCACACAUAACAUUUGUUUAUGUGGUAAUGGGUCGCAUCGCUGUUUUAUUACAGUGAGCACCUAAAAUGUGUGUGAUUUUCUGUCUGGCUUGCUAGGCAGGAAUAUUACGCUGGUCUCAGGAUCUUUUUCUUUGGUUCGCCCAGGAAGUAAAGUACAAGAGUAUAAUCCAGCAACUUUCAAACUAUGAUCUGAAGUCAGGUGGGAUUACCCGCUGAACUUAAGCAUAUCAAUAAGCGGAGGAAAAAGAUUUUUAAUUAUGUUAGAGCGCCCUACCAUAGGGUUUCCUCAGGAGUAAUGAUUGCUUCACACAGUGAAAUUUGGGUGAGAGACUCAAACGGUCAUGGGUAACCUAUCUGGGUUUGAUCGAUCCACUCCGGGUUUCAGGAGCACCUUCAAAAAACCUAGAAUUCAUAUUAUAAGUUUAAAAAACACUUUUAACAAUGGACUUGGGUUCUGCGUCGAUAAAAACGUAGCAAAGUGCGAUACUAGUGUGAAUUGCACAUUCGUGAAUCAUCG
rnacentral:rRNA from 1 species